rnacentral:rRNA from 1 species
UACGUAGGGCGCGAGCGUUGUUCGGAUUUACUGGGCGUAAAGGGCGCGUAGGCGGCCUCCGCAGGUCAGUUGUGAAAUCUCCGAGCUUAACUCGGAAAGGUCAACUGAUACUGCGGGGCUAGAGUGCGGAAGGGGCAACUGGAAUUCUUGGUGUAGCGGUGAAAUGCGUAGAUAUCAAGAGGAACACCUGCGGCGAAGGCGGGUUGCUGGGCCGACACUGACGCUGAGGCGCGAAAGCGAGGGGAGCGAACGGG